GCCGUUAUAGCUCAGAGGUAGAGCGCUUCCUUGGUAAGGAAGAGGUCUCGGGUUCAAUUCCCGAUAAUGGCU
rnacentral:tRNA from 1 species